AUGAGGGAACGAAGUCUUCUAUUUAUCCAUAGAACAGACACUGCACGGAGAGCUGCACUGCAAGCUCCUCCACCCUGCCAUGCCAAUGUGCCUAACCUGGAGGGGCCACCUUCAGGGAUAUAAAGGCAGUAUAGUCUUCAGUCAGGUCUUGGACUCC
rnacentral:sRNA from 1 species